GAAAAAACCCAAAAUUGAACCGUCCAAUUCGUUUUCUCUGAACCAAGAGUCUGUGCUCGCCGCGGUGGACCAAGCCGGUCUCGCCCCCGUCGCCUUCUUCACGGCUCCGUCGCCUUCUUUACAGCUCCGAAAGCACACUGGUCACUGAGCAAGGAAGUGAGCAAAGUAAAUAAACUCAUAGAUGUCGUGCCCUCUCUAAACCCACACAAGACCCACCUGCGCCCAAUCGUAGGUUAUUCCGAGGAAAGUGAUUCAAUUGUUGAUUUGGAAAGUGGUGAGACCACAAGCGAAGAAGAUGGAAUUGAAGACUUGGAUGUGGGUGGUAAGCAUGCAAAGAAAAUGUUGAGUAGGCUGAGGAGUGGAUGUAUUAGUUUUGAUGGAUCAGUGGGGGAUAUUGAUGGAUUAGAUUCAACAAAGAUUGUAUUACAGCCUGAUGAGAAUUUGGAGAUAUUGGAAGGUGAGGUGGAAGGAAAGGCAGCGGGUAUGGUGAAGAUGAAAAUGGCAAGUGAGAAAAGGAAAAAGGCGAGCUCUAAGAAGCCUCCCAAGCCACCCCGUCCUCCUACUGGUCCGUUAUUGGAUGCAGCAGAUAUGAAGUUGGUCAGAGAAAUUUCUGAGCUUGCAAGAUUGAGGCGUGCAAGGAUUGAACGAAGGAAGGAAGUGAAAAAAAUGAGAGCAGAUAAAGCAUCAUCUUCAAACGAUAACCUUGUUGCAUUGGUCAUCACCAUGCUCUUCUUCUUUGUGAUAAUCUUCCAAGGUAUAUUGGGCUUUCGAAUGUGAUGCCUCAAGAUGUGGUCGUCUUCAGAUUUCACCAAGUAGAUUCCUGUACAUCUGCUUGUUGUCCUUUUUCUCCCCUUAUCAUUGUUUCGGUUUGGCUUUGCAAUUUAUGUUAUAAUUAUAUUCCAUGUUUGAUAAUAUAUCAGAUUACUUACUUGAUCUGAUGUGAUAAAUAGCAAUGCUACUUUGUUUCCAGUUUUCUUAUUUUGCUAAGACGUGUGCAAAUAUUUGUAAUUAUUUGUUAGUUAGCUGCAAAAGUACCAUGCUUAUUAUACAGGCAAGUGAUUGUAGACAAUAUAAUGGGAUUACCAAACAAGGAGAAAUAUAAGAACAAUGCUCUCUCUGUCCCUCUCUCUCUCUCUCUCUGACUGUUUAUCUAUCUGUCUCUCUCUUUGAAUUAUCAAAUUCUAUAUGCAAGUUUAUUUUGUAAUUUGAGUUAUAAAAUGCAGGAGUUUGCUUUAGAAGUGUUCAAGUAUUAGUCUCCACAUAUCCAAAGUCCGCAAUGAUAGUAGUUGGUGGUGAGAUUCAAGUUGAAUAGUCUAACACCCUUCUGCUAGGGGACCAAUGGACCUGAUUCUUGGAUCCCCAAGAUCUGAUGAAAAUCUGGAUCCUGAAUUGUCCAUGUGUGGCAAAGUUAUCAAUCUUUGGUUUCACGGAAUAUAGCCAGUUUGGUCACAGUUAAUGUUAUCAUUCCCAUGGGGCACAAAGCACAUAGAGCUGGAUUCAAAUGGACUCUGGUGCAGGCUCGCGGCUUCAUCUAAUGGUGAAUAUGGCUGUUCAAAGUUCUAUUGUCCUGUGGCCAGACAUGGAGGAAAGAGGAACUUUUUCCCCCAUUGUCCCCUCUGAUAAGAGAAUGUAAUAUCAGCAGAAACUAUUAUGAUGACAUUUCUUUUACAUACAAAAAAUAUCAUCAAAAACUAUAUUAUGUAUAGAUGAUAUGAAUUUUGUUGGGAACUUCAAUUUAUUUUUCUUCCAUUGUCCACAAUGAUAAGAGAAUGUAAUAGCAUCAUUAUAUGAUUUAUGCAUAAAGCAUGUGGCAUGUGGC